CCCUUAGAUGUUCUGGGCGGCCCGCGCACUACAAUGGCGCUUUCAGCGAGUUCCUAUGUUGAAUUUUCCUGGGUAUUCUUGGAAGCGGCGUCUUGACUUGGGAUAGAUCCUUGUAAUUGUUGGUUUUGAACGAGGAAUUCCUUGUAAUCGCGGUUGAUCAGCUCGCGUUGAAUACGUCCCCGCCCUUUGUACACACCGCCCGUCGCUCCUACCGAUGAAUCGUCCGGUGAAGUUCACAGAGUGGCGGUUCGUGGAGUUGCUCGCGAAGUGAAAUGGACCUCACGAUUUAGAGGAAGGAGAAGUCGUAACA
rnacentral:rRNA from 1 species